CACUGACAGUGGAGAAGAAAAAUUAUUGUACUAUGGGGAUCUGCAAUACCAGAUUAUUAUUGGUCAAUCAUGUUCUCUCUCCUAAACUAAGAUGGAAUGGAUUUCUGUAAUAGGGGAGAUUGUUCCAUUCAG